AGUGAACGCUGGCGGUAGGCCUAACACAUGCAAGUCGAACGGCAGCACAGUAAGAGCUUGCUCUUACGGGUGGCGAGUGGCGGACGGGUGAGGAAUACAUCGGAAUCUACUUUUUCGUGGGGGAUAACGUAGGGAAACUUACGCUAAUACCGCAUACGACCUACUGGUGAAAGCAGGGGAUCUUCUGACCUUGCGCGAUUGAAUGAGCCGAUGUCGGAUUAGCUAGUUGGCGGGGUAAAGGCCCACCAAGGCGACGAUCCGUAGCUGGUCUGAGAGGAUGAUCAGCCACACUGGAACUGAGACACGGUCCAGACUCCUACGGGAGGCAGCAGUGGGGAAUCUUGGACGAUGGGCGCAAGCCUGAUCCAGCCAUACCGCGUGGGUGAAGAAGGCCUUCGGGUUGUAAAGCCCUUUUGUUGGGAAAGAAAAGCAGCAGGUUAAUACCCCGCUGUUCUGACGGUACCCAAAGAAUAAGCACCGGCUAACUUCGUG
rnacentral:rRNA from 1 species